GGAUGAGCCAAGUGUAUUGUAGUUCAACAGAACAAACGAAAAGUGCUUCUCCAAGGUGUAAUUGUAUAGUGAACAACCAUGGAAGACUGCAACAACAUCUGCCUCUGGGGCAAUAAUCAGGCAUAUUUGCUGUCUACUAUUGGCUGCAUCCUACCACCCAGUACAGUGCCAAGGUCCACAGUAGGCAUGCAGCACAUAUUUUUGAGUGAAGUGUACAAAUGAAUGAAAGACUAUGGAAAACUUAAC